AUAGCAUGAUGUGCACAUCACCUUAAUAGAUCUUUGAACCUCUCCCAAGCUUCAUACAAUGAUUCUGAGUCUUGUUGAGUGAAGGAGAUAAUUUCAUUCCUCAUCUU